rnacentral:rRNA from 1 species
GUUGAACGCUGGCGGCGUGCCUAAUACAUGCAAGUCGAGCGGACGGACGAGAAGCUUGCUUCUCUGAUGUUAGCGGCGGACGGGUGAGUAACACGUGGAUAACCUACCUAUAAGACUGGGAUAACUUCGGGAAACCGGAGCUAAUACCGGAUAAUAUUUUGAACCGCAUGGUUCAAAAGUGAAAGACGGUCUUGCUGUCACUUAUAGAUGGAUCCGCGCUGCAUUAGCUAGUUGGUAAGGUAACGGCUUACCAAGGCAACGAUGCAUAGCCGACCUGAGAGGGUGAUCGGCCACACUGGAACUGAGACACGGUCCAGACUCCUACGGGAGGCAGCAGUAGGGAAUCUUCCGCAAUGGGCGAAAGCCUGACGGAGCAACGCCGCGUGAGUGAUGAAGGUCUUCGGAUCGUAAAACUCUGUUAUUAGGGAAGAACAUAUGUGUAAGUAACUGUGCACAUCUUGACGGUACCUAAUCAGAAAGCCACGGCUAACUACGUG